GACGAACCGUCCGAACGUUAUUCGGAAUCACUGGGCUUAAAGGGCGCGUAGGCGGCCCGGUAAGUCAAAGGUGAAAUCCCUCGGCUCAACUGAGGAACUGCCUUUGAAACUGUCGGGCUUGAGGCCGGGAGGGGGUAGCGGAAUUCCCAGUGUAGCGGUGAAAUGCGUAGAUACUGGGAGGAACACCAGUGGCGAAGGCGGCUACCUGGACCGGUACUGACGCUGAGGUGCGAAAGCGUGGGGAGCAAACAGG
rnacentral:rRNA from 1 species